CCUGGACCACUCCUGACUGAGGGUCGUAA
rnacentral:rRNA from 1 species